GGAAACAACUCUGAAUAUUUCUAUUUUAGGAAGCCAGUGAUUAGAGUAGCCGCCUCUGAAUAACUAUUGACAAAAUGGCCCAAGGGUGAUUGAAGUUUCUAUUUUAGCCAAGUCUGUGAUUUUCUUUCUAUUUUAGCGAUGCCGUUUUCAUUUGCGGUUUAUUUUCCUAGAUAAAACACCCACCCCAGAAAGCACCCCAAGUUGGAUCUUUUUUUUUAAGGAAAAAUAUCUAGGCUAAUUUGUCGUUAUCAUCUGCUGCUUAUCUUUGAAAUGAAGAGACUGAAAAUCCAUAGAAUUUUCGGUAUUUUAUUUUAUUCUAUUUGUUAAAUUCGUUGGGGUGGCACUGGUCAACAUGAACACAGGAUUCAGGUGCGGGUUUCUAUAGAACUUCAGAGCUGACAUGCAAGUUUACAGGUGCAGGAACCAAGGCUGAGAAGUUAGGAGCAGCCCAGCCCCAUAUGCCAGUGAGUGGCGGACUAAUUGUGGAAUGAGGGGUCCUACCGUCCCGUCCACCCUGUUCAGCAAGUUCACCGCCUCGCUCCGUCGAGAAUUCUCUUAUUAGUGUGAUGCACACACACAGACUAAUUCCAGUCAUUUCUCCUCUGGAUUUUUAUUUCUGCUUACUGUCUGGAAGUACUGAGAUGAAAUGUAAACACAGUUGCCAUAGAGUCGAUUAUUGAAGUAUGGAAGAUAAUUACUUAGUAAAAAUUAAUAAACUAAAGUGCUAGCUUCCAUGAUUAGGCUCAAAAAGACCAGGUUCAUUUUUUACUUUUUAAAAUUUGUAUGAAUAAUUUCGUUUCCACCUGUGAGAUUAAGUUGUACUGUUUAAUUAAAGGUGUAAAAUAUUUCUAAUUUUUUAAACAUGUAAUGACAAACGUGUAAAACAUUCACUUAUAAACAUGUUAUUUCUUUGAAGAACA